GUAGGGAAUAUUGGACAAUGGGCGCAAGCCUGAUCCAGCCAUGCCGCGUGCAGGAAGACGCAUCUAUGGUGUGUAAACUGCUUUUGUACGGGAAGAAACACUCCCUCGUGAGGGAGCUUGACGGUACCGUAAGAAUAAGGAUCGGCUAACUCCGUGCCAGCAGCCGCGGUAAUACGGAGGAUCCAAGCGUUAUCCGGAAUCAUUGGGUUUAAAGGGUCCGUAGGCGGUUUAAUAAGUCAGUGGUGAAAGCCCAUCGCUCAACGAUGGAACGGCCAUUGAUACUGUUAGACUUGAAUUACAAGGAAGUAACUAGAAUAUGUAGUGUAGCGGUGAAAUGCUUAGAUAUUACAUGGAAUACCAAUUGCGAAGGCAGGUUACUACUUGUGGAUUGACGCUGAUGGACGAAAGCGUGGGGAGCGAACAGGAUUAGAAACCCUAGUAGUCC
rnacentral:rRNA from 1 species